UGGAAGUAAAAAGUCGUAACAAGGUCUCCGUUG
rnacentral:rRNA from 1 species